UAUCUUCUACUAAAACAAGAAAAUCCAAAAAAAGAGAGGCUAGCUAGCAUUCUCGAACUUUACCCCCCAACCAGUCAUCAUUAGGGUUUUAAACCCUAAACUUAACUUUUCCCUUUCAGUCAGCAUUAGGGUUUUAAACCCUAAACUGAACUUUUCCAUUUAGUCAGCAUCAGGGUUUUAAACCCUAAACUGAACUCUUUCAUUCAGUCAACAUUAGGGUUUUAAACCCUAGACUGAACUUUUUCCUUUAAUCAGCAUUAGGGUUUUAAACCCUAAACUGAACUUUUUCCUUUAAUCAGCAUUAGUGUUUUAAACCCUAAACUGAACUUUUCCAUUCAGUCAGCAUUAGGGUUUUAAACCCUAAACUGAACUUUUCCAUUCAGUCAGCAUUAGGGUUUUAAACCCUAAACUGAACUUUUCCUUUAGUCAGCAUUAGGGUUUUAAAUCCUAAACUGAACUCUUUCCUUUAGUCAGCAUUAGGGUUUUAAACCUUAAACUGAACUUUUUCCUUUAGUCAGCAUUAGGGUUUUAAACCCUAAACUGAACUCUUUCAUUUAGUCAGCAUUAGGGUUUUAAACCCUAAACUGAACUUUUCCUUUAGUCAGCAUUAGGGUUUUAAACCCUAAGCUGAACUUUUCCAUUCAGUCAGCAUUAGGGUUUUAAACCUUAAACUGAACUCUUUCCUUUAGUCAGCAUUAGGGUUUUAAACCCUAAACUAAACUUUUCCUUUAGUCAGCAUUAGGGUUUUAAACCCUAAACUGAGCUUUUCCAUUCAGUCAGCAUUAGGGUUUUAAACCCUAAAUUGACCUUUUUCCUUUAAUCAGCAUUAGGGUUUUAAACCCUAACUGAACUUUUUUCCAUUCAGCCAGCAUUAGGGUUUUAAACCCUAAACUGAGCUUUUCCAUGCAAUCAGCAUUAGGGUUUUAAACCCUAAACUGAAUUUUUCCUUUAGUCAGCAUUAGGGUUUUAAACCCUAAACUGAACUUUUUUCCAUUCAGCCAGCAUUAGGGUUUUAAACCCUAAACUGAGCUUUUCCAUUCAGUCACUGCUGUUUGCUCAGUCGUCUCUGAGCUUUGCCAUCGUCGUCCAUGGCGGCACUGCCUUCCCGCCAUUGACGCUGCCCGACUAGUCGAGCUUUCUGCUUGCUCGCCGUUUGCGUUGUCAUCAACCAAGCAGGUU
rnacentral:lncRNA from 1 species